rnacentral:tRNA from 1 species
UACAGAUGUAGUAUAAAAAUUACACUUCAGUUACAUUGAGGAGGUUCAUUUAUUUUAUGACGUCUAUAU